rnacentral:rRNA from 1 species
AACGAACGCUGGCGGCGUGCCUAACACAUGCAAGUCGAACGAGAAAGGGGCUUCGGCUCCGAGUAAAGUGGCGCACGGGUGAGUAACACGUAGGUAACCUGCCUCAAAGAUUGGGAUAACCUGUCGAAAGAUGAGCUAAUACCAAAUAAGACCACGGCUUCCUCGGAAGCAGGGGUCAAAGGUAGCCUCUACAUGUAAGCUAUCACUUAGAGAUGGGCCUGGGUACCAUUAGCUAGUUGGUGGGGUAACGGCCCACCAAGGCAAAGAUGGUUAGCUGGUCUGAGAGGAUGAUCAGCCACACUGGAACUGAGACACGGUCCAGACUCCUACGGGAGGCAGCAGUGGGGAAUAUUGCGCAAUGGGCGAAAGCCUGACGCAGCAACGCCGCGUGAGUGAUGAAGGCCUUCGGGUCGUAAAGCUCUGUCGGAGGGAACGAAUGCUCUCGAGGUUAACAGCCUCUGGAAGUGACGGUACCCUCAAAGGAAGCACCGGCUAACUCUGUGCCAGCAGCCGCGGUAAGAC